GAUGAACGCUGGCGGCGUGCCUAAUACAUGCAAGUCGAGCGAACAGACGAGGAGCUUGCUCCUCUGACGUUAGCGGCGGACGGGUGAGUAACACGUGGAUAACCUACCUAUAAGACUGGGAUAACUUCGGGAAACCGGAGCUAAUACCGGAUAAUAUAUUGAACCGCAUGGUUCAAUAGUGAAAGACGGUUUUGCUGUCACUUAUAGAUGGAUCCGCGCCGCAUUAGCUAGUUGGUAAGGUAACGGCUUACCAAGGCGACGAUGCGUAGCCGACCUGAGAGGGUGAUCGGCCACACUGGAACGGAGACACGGUCCAGACGCCUACGGGAGGCAGCAGAAGGGAAUCUUCCGCAAUGGGCGAAAGCCUGACGGAGCAACGCCGCGUGAGUGAUGAAGGUCUUCGGAUCGUAAAACUCUUUUAUUAGGGAAGAACAAAUGUGUAAGUAACUAUGCACGUCUUGACGGUACCUAAUCAGAAAGCCACGGCUAACUACGUG
rnacentral:rRNA from 1 species